rnacentral:rRNA from 1 species
AUUGAACGCUGGCGGCAUGCCUUACACAUGCAAGUCGAACGGUAACAGGUCUUCGGAUGCUGACGAGUGGCGAACGGGUGAGUAAUACAUCGGAACGUGCCCGAGAGUGGGGGAUAACGAGGCGAAAGCUUUGCUAUACCGCAUACGAUCUCAGGAUGAAAGCAGGGGACCGCAAGGCCUUGCGCUCACGGAGCGGCCGGUGGCAGAUUAGGUAGUUGGUGGGAUAAAAGCUUACCAAGCCGACGAUCUGUAGCUGGUCUGAGAGGACGACCAGCCACACUGGGACUGAGACACGGCCCAGACUCCUACGGGAGGCAGCAGUGGGGAAUUUUGGACAAUGGGCGCAAGCCUGAUCCAGCCAUGCCGCGUGCAGGAUGAAGGCCUUCGGGUUGUAAACUGCUUUUGUACGGAACGAAAAGACUCUGGUUAAUACCUGGGGUCCAUGACGGUACCGUAAGAAUAAGCACCGGCUAACUACGUGCCAGCCGCCGCCGUAACAC